rnacentral:rRNA from 1 species
CCUACGGGAGGCAGCAGUGAGGAAUAUUGGUCAAUGGACGAGAGUCUGAACCAGCCAAGUAGCGUGAAGGAUGACUGCCCUAUGGGUUGUAAACUUCUUUUAUAAAGGAAUAAAACGAGGCACGUGUGCCUUUUUGCAUGUACUUUAUGAAUAAGGAUCGGCUAACUCCGUGCCAGCAGCCGCGGUAAUACGGAGGAUACGAGCGUUAUCCGGAUUUAUUGGGUUUAAAGGGAGCAUGGAUGGGUUGUUAAGUCAGUUGUGAAAGUUUGCGGCUCAACCGUAAAAUUGCAAUUGAUACUGGCAGUCUUGAGUACAGUUGAGGUAGGCGGAAUUCGUGGUGUAGCGGUGAAAUGCUUAGAUAUCACGAAGAACCCCGAUUGCGAAGGCAGCUUACUAAACUGUGACUGACAUUGAGGCUCGAAAGUGUGGGUAGCAAACAGGAUUAGAUACCCCAGUAGUC